UACGUAGGGUGCAAGCGUUGUCCGGAAUUAUUGGGCGUAAAGAGCUCGUAGGCGGUCAGUCGCGUCUGCUGUGAAAACUCGGGGCUUAACUCCGGGCCUGCAGUGGGUACGGGCUGACUAGAGUGCGGUAGGGGAGACUGGAAUUCCUGGUGUAGCGGUGAAAUGCGCAGAUAUCAGGAGGAACACCGGUGGCGAAGGCGGGUCUCUGGGCCGUAACUGACGCUGAGGAGCGAAAGCGUGGGGGGCGAACAGG
rnacentral:rRNA from 1 species